rnacentral:rRNA from 1 species
UGGGGAAUUUUGGACAAUGGGCGAAAGCCUGAUCCAGCAAUGCCGCGUGUGUGAAGAAGGCCUUCGGGUUGUAAAGCACUUUUGUCCGGAAAGAAAUCCUUGGCUCUAAUACAGUCGGGGGAUGACGGUACCGGAAGAAUAAGCACCGGCUAACUACGUGCCAGCAGCCGCGGUAAUACGUAGGGUGCAAGCGUUAAUCGGAAUUACUGGGCGUAAAGCGUGCGCAGGCGGUUUGCUAAGACCGAUGUGAAAUCCCCGGGCUCAACCUGGGAACUGCAUUGGUGACUGGCAGGCUAGAGUAUGGCAGAGGGGGUAGAUUCCACGUGUAGCAGUGAAAUGCGUAGAGAUGUGGAGGAAUACCGAUGGCGAAGGCAGCCCCCUGGGCCAAUACUGACCUCAUGCACGAAAGCGUGGGGAGCAAACAGGAUUAGAUACCCUGGUAGUCCACGCCCU